UCCUUAGUGGCGCACGGGUGAGUAACACGUGGGAACAUACCUCAUAGUACGGAAUAACUGCGGGAAACUGUAGCUAAUACCGUAUAUUCCAGUAAUGGGAAAGAUUUAUCGCUAUGAGAUUGGCCCGCGCAAGAUUAGCUUGUUGGUGAGGUAAAGGCUCACCAAGGCGACGAUCUUUAGCGGGUCUGAGAGGACGAUCCGCCACAUUGGGACUGAGACACGGCCCAGACUCC
rnacentral:rRNA from 1 species